GAUGAACGCUGGCGGCGUGCCUAACACACGCAAGUCGAACGGGAGGCUUUUUUCGAAAAGCCGAGAGUGGCGCACGGGUGAGUAACACGUAGCUUACCUGCCCCGAAGAGUGGGAUAACGCAUCGAAAGGUGUGCUAAUACCACAUAAGCUCACCGACUAUAGAGGUCGGCGAGAAAAGCUCAGGCGCUUUGGGAUGGGGCUGCGGCCCAUCAGCUAGUUGGUGAGGUAAAGGCUCACCAAGGCAACGACGGGUAGGGGACCUGAGAGGGUGACCCCCCACACUGGGACUGAGACACGGCCCAGACUCCUACGGGAGGCAGCAGUGAGGAAUAUUGCUCAAUGGACGCAAGUCUGAAGCAGCGACGCCGCGUGGGUGAUGAAGGUCUUCGGAUCGUAAAGCCCUUUUCCAGGUGACGAGGAAGGACGGUAACCUGGGAAUAAGUGUCGGCUAACUACGUGCCAGCAGCCGCGGUAAAACGUAGGACGCAAGCGUUAUCCGGAAUUACUGGGCGUAAAGGGCGUGUAGGCGGAUCAGCAAGUCAUGCGUGAAAGCACCUGGCUAAACUGGGAGAGGUCGGAUGAGACUGUUGAUCUAGAGUAUGUCAGAGGCGUGUGGAAUUCCGCGUGUAGUGGUGAAAUGCGUAGAGAUGCGGAGGAACACCAGUGGCGAAGGCGGCACGCUGGGGCAUAACUGACGCUGAGGCGCGAAAGCAUGGGGAGCGAACGGGAUUAGAAACCCCGGUAGUCCAUGCCGUAAACGAUGUACACUAGACGUUCGGGCUACAUUGUAGCUUGAGUGUCGCAGCAAACGCGAUAAGUGUACCGCCUGGGGAGUACGGUCGCAAGGCUAAAACUCAAAGGAAUUGACGGGGGCCCGCACAAGCAGCGGAGCGUGUGGGUUAAUUCGAGCUACACGAAGAACCUUACCUAGGUUUGACAUAGCGGUGAACGAACGCGAAAGCGGGAGGUCUCUUCGGAGCACCGUUACAGGUGCUGCAUGGCUGUCGUCAGCUCGUGUCGUGAGAUGCUCGGUUAAGUCCGAAAACGAGCGCAACCCCUGGGUUCAGUUACAGGUGUCUGAACCAACUGCCUGCGGCAAGCAGGAGGAAGGUGGGGAUGAAGUCAAGUCAGCAUGGCCUUUAUAUCUAGGGCUACACACACGCUACAAUGGCGCGUACAAUGGGUCGCGAAGCCGCGAGGCGGAGCCAAUCCUAAAAAGCGCGUCGUAGUUCGGAUUGUAGGCUGCAACUCGCCUGCAUGAAGUCGGAGUUGCUAGUAACCGCACAUCAGCAUGGUGCGGUGAAUACGUUCCCGGGCCUUGUACACACCGCCCGUCACGUCAUGGGAGCUGGUCACGCCUGAAGUCGGGAAGCGAACCGCAAGGAAGCUACCGCCGAAGGCAGGGCUGGUGACUGGGACGAAGUCGUAACAAGGUA
rnacentral:rRNA from 1 species